rnacentral:lncRNA from 1 species
UGUUUGUGUGAUACAAAUAAGUGGUUUCCUCAAGAGUUAAGUUUAUCUGGGACAAAAAAAAAAAAAAAAAAGAUUUACUUUGUGGAGUUUUCUCCUUAAAAAAGAUCUGGUUGACCAUUAGAAUGAAAUUUAAAAUUGAGACAGGCUAGGAAAAAAAUAGCAUUGCUGGCACUUCAAAUAAGGAGAAAGGACAGUAAUAUCUAUUGUUUUUGUUUGUUGCUUAUAUUAAUAUUAUAUCUCAACUAAUCAUGGAAAGGCUUUCAUAGAAAAACUAAUCACACAUAUCUGAUUAUAAAGAACUCCCCCUCCCAAAUUGAUGAAUAGUUUGCUAUUUUCUAAGUGUAAACAGAAUAAUUAAUUUUAGAUUGCUUGACACAUUUUGGCUCUCUAAAAUGAAAAUUCUCAGAAAAAUAGAUUCAGAAGAAAUUACACAAAACAAGAUUAAUUAAAAUGAUUGGGGAAAAAAAGCAAUAGUGUAAUAACAGUGGGAGAGAAUGCAGCUGCAGAAAACUAGGGUAGGGUUUCUGGCUUUGCAGAGAACUUCAUUGAGAGAAGGUUCAUUGAAGGGAAGAAAAUAGGAUACUGGCCCUUGCCUUCAAUUCAUUAUUUGAUAAGAACCCUGGUCAGCCAGAGCCACCAAGAAAUUCCAAAGGGAGAGUCACUUCAUAUAUAGUCACUGACUCUAAGUUUGGGACCAUAAAUAGGCCUCUUGUGCUGGGCCUGUCGUGUCAUGGACAUCAACUGGGAUCAACCGAGAUGCCAGAAGUAACCGUGGAUUAAAAGCUACAUUCCUACAAGGAGCACAGAAGCAUGCUCGCCACAUUCUUUAAAUAUUUUCUCUAGACUAUCAUCAUAACCUCUGUCUUAUCUGGAUUAAUCCCUUUCUGGCUCACUUUGAUCCCAAUCCCCGGUGGGGCCCCUCAGAUGCUGAAUAAAUUGUGAAAUUGCAGUGUCAGGAUUAGAGAGAUGAAAGGGGAGAUGGAGACCAUGUGUCAUCAGCCGACUGAUCUCGGAGUGAAAAUGCCUCGGCUUUUCUUCCAGUUAACUCAUGUGAACUCUGAACAGGUGGGUGCUUCCCAGCAGAUCCUGACAGGCCCCCCCCCUGCCAGGCCUGGCCUCGCCGCCUGGGAGAGGCAAGGGCAGGCUGGAGCCAGGGAUCUCCCUUUGUGACCUUGCCCAUGGGGCCAAUGUCCUGGGUUCUACUCACCCCCCUGCACCAUCCACCUCGAGCCUUGAGUGGAGGUACAAUAAACACCACAUUUAAUGCAACUCAAGCACCUACUAGUUUGCCUAUUUGUUAUAUGAAUACCAUGUUGCAUGGCUUUGAAACCAGACCCGUUUCAGAUUUGGCCUCUGAGCCCUGUAAGCACUGUUGUGUUUUUAUUGCCUCUUUUACACUGUUAUUCUGCUGGCCGUCAUUCAUUGUUUCCUUCUUUGAAGCUCACUUCCCAUCAUAAUUUACCAACCUCAAGAUCAUCCCCUUGCAUUCUUCGAGGCUUUGGGCAUUUGGUUUGAAGAUUUUCCUUCCAUGCAGUUCUCUUUAUCUACUCCCAUCCUUGGUGAUUUAAUAUGGAUGAUGAAAUAUUCCUGGAGGGUUGGAAUCUUCAUGAGAAUGGUGGUGGCCUCUUUCUAGUUUAUGGCUGGCAUCUCAGCACUCAGCUCACAGCGGACACUCAAAAUAGAUUUGUUGAAUUAAUUAAAUAUAUAAACACUUUUCUCUCUCCCAGCAGGUUUCUUGUCCAUUUCUGACAAUGCUUCAUUCUAAUCCACUAAGAAAAGAGGGGUUGUCACGCAUUGAUCCUAUCUAUUUCUUUCUUUUUCACCAAAAGAAAAAGAUCUCUACCUGUUCUUCUGUUUAGUGAUGCACAAUCUUUAUCUGCCCUUCACAGAUCCCUUUCACUUCCACUGGUCCCUUGCUCUGUCAGUCCUUCCCCUACUCUUAUAUCUUCAGUAGCUUCCUUUUCCCUGGCCAAGUUAUAAACUGCACAAAUCUCUAUCAUCCUUUCAUUUUUUUCUUUGGGCCACAUCUGCAGUAUAUGGAAGUUCCCAUGCUAGUGGUUGAAUCAGAGCUGUAUCUUCUGGCCUACGCCACAGCCACAGCAACUUGGGAUCUGAACCGCAUCUGCGACCUACACCAAAGCUCACGGCAAUGCCAGAUCCUUAACCCACUGAGCCGGGCCAGGGAUCGAACCUUCAUGCUCAUGGGUACUUGUUGGGUUCUUAGCUCACUGAGCCACAAGGGAACUCACUUCUCAACCAUCCUUUUAAAAACCUACCCUUAACCGUGCCUCCCCCUGAAACAACUGUCUCAUUCCCUUUACAGCAACAUUCUAGAAAGAAUACUAUAUACUUGUAUAUUUGACUCUCAGAAAUCAACAUUGCCUCAUUUCUAAAUCCAGUGGCCUCUUUUCAGUCCCAGUCCAAGAUGUUUCCAUUGUUGGUCCAUUGCCCUCUCCAUCAGUUUGCUUCCUUAAGCCUUCUUACUUCUCCUGCCGGACCGCUGUCUCUGAAUCCUACCCUGAAUCCUCCCACCCCUGUCACCCAGGUGGGAAGUAGCAGUGGCUUGUAUUGGUGAUAGUAGUGACCGAAGGUGGAGAAAAGUGGCUGGGUAAAGAACUCUUUAGGUGAUACAAUUGACAGGAGUUGAUGAUAUAUUAGAAGUGAAGAGGAAGAGAGGGAGCCAACCAGGAUAACCCCUAGGUUUCUGACUUGAUAACUGGGUGGUAGAAUCAUUCACUGAGAUUGAAAACACUCCAAGUAGAUUGUAUGGUAGGAGGCUACCAUGAGCUCACCUUGACAUAGGCUGAGUUUUCUUUGAGAUGAGUUUUCUGAGAUUUCUUUGAGAUGUCCAAGCAUAUAUGUCAAGUGGGCCGUUAGCUGGGUCUGGUGUUUGGGGGAACACCAUUUUUUCUCCUUUUACUUUUUGCUUUCUUUCUUUUUUUUUUUUUCUUUUUUCUUCUUUUUAGGGUCACACCCGAGGCAUAUGGAAGUUCCCAGGCUAGGAGUUGAUUCUGAGCUGCAGCUGCUGGUCUUUGCCACACCCACAGCAAUGCCAGAUCCAAGCCAUGUCUGUGACCUAUACCACAGCUCAUGGCAACCCCAGAUCCUUAACCCACUGAGUGAGCCCAGGGAUUGAACCCACAUCCUCAUGGAUACUAGUCGGGUUUGUUACCACUGAGCCACAAUGGGAACUCCUGGAGGAGCAUCUUGAACUAAGGAUAAACUCAGUUGACCAGCCAUUGUGUAUAGGUGGGCAUUGAGGACACGGUUGCGACAGUCUGGAGUGAGAAGAGAAGAGAGAAGAGGGAGGAUUGAGCCUUGAAAAAUCAGAAUGCUGAGGAGGGCCAGACAAGACUCAAAAGGAGACUGAGCAGAAGAAACCAGAGAUGUGUGGGGAAAAUUUGGGGUGUUUGGGGCUUGGAAGCCUAGGAAAAGAAUGGUUCAAGAUGGUUUACCAUGUAAGCUACGUGGAAAGUACCAUUAACUAAUUCAGCAGGUUCCUUAUGUAGAAAUGUAAAGUUGAUAUUCACAUCAGCAAAAUAAUUUAAAAUAGAUGCCUAUUGCCUUUGAAUAUUGUUUAUCUUUCUAUUACCAGGGUUCCAAGAAAUCAGAGAAGGGCAGGGCUAUCUGAUUUUAGCCCUUAGGGCUGACUGUCUUCUCCAUGUGCAAACUAAAGGACCCUUUCAAGAAGGAAAUUAUUUGCCUUUUCUAUUAUAAUAUAUAACCAAGGGCAAGAGCAUUAUGGAAAUCAAGACAUAAUUUUAACUGGUUUGCUUUGGGCUGAGUUAACUUUAUGAAUUUUUUAAUUUAAUCAUCUUGACCAAUGGAAUUGAUUCAACCAGCGGUAUGUAUCGGAACAGUUCACUGCUCCUCAUUAUAAGGGUUUUAUUGGCUUUGGGGCAGCAUGCAAGCCACUGGUCUUUACAUUUAGAUGCAUUUAUUCACAUGGCCACCAAGUUAGCUAAUUUGUACAUGCUUUCCAUUCUGUAAUUGUGAAAUAUGUAAGCUUUGGCCAUUGGCCUGGCUACCAGACUGAUGGAGAGAAGAGAACAUAGAAAGGAAGCAGGGUUCCCUGGAAGCCUUGGUCCACAGGGCCCUCCUUCCAGUGGUCCAUCACCUCUAUACUGGAUUUGAGUAAUUCCUAUGGUAGAGAGAAGACCAAUUUCUGUGUGGCCUAACAAUAUAUAAACUGUUUAGGAAAACCUGACUACUUCACAAUUUUCUGAGCAACUGCAAAUAUCACUUUACUUCUCACAUUAAUAUGCCUUCUCACCAAUCAAGUCAUAUUGAACUUUAUUAACUAUGCUUGAUAUCAUUUAUGUUCUAAUUAAAUUAAUGAGCGUCUUGCAUUUCUUCACAAAAUUAAAUGUCCAGAAUCUCUUUCUAUUUUUAUAUCUACCUUCUACAAUCGAGUGUCUUUAAUACCCUUCAAUGACGUGAUACUUUCAAUGUUUGGGGAAUGAGGCAAAAGCUUCAGAACCAUUAAAAUAAAUAAAUAAAUAAAUAAAUAAAACCAAACAAAAACCAUGAGCCAUCGACUUUUAUGCUAUUGUUUAAGGAACAGAAGUCAAUUACUCUGGGGAUGUUGACAGUCUGUGACAUGCUGAAAUCAUUCUCUUCCUACCCAGAAAUGGAUCAUUGAAUGAGUUUACUUAAUCUGGGGACUUUGUUCCUAAAAACUGUUUCAAGGAAUAGACGCAGUUGUUUCCAGAAGCAGAGUUCUCUUGAGAGAUGAAGCCCCAGCAACUUCUCUUCAUCUCAGCCUAGGUAGCACACUCUACCUUCACUCAGAAAAGUGAAAGCACCAGUGGAAAGGAAUCUAUCCGGUCUUCAUUUCUUUGUCCUUGUUUAUUUGUGUCACACAUUGCUUUUCAGGUGGUCCCAAGAGCAAAUUGCACAUUUGUAUUGAGGUUGCAAAUUUGGUUUUGAUUUUCCCUUGCUCUUCCGGCAGUACUUUGCUCUAAAUUCUGUCACAUCUUCUCAAUGAAAGCAUUGCAGUGGCCCAGUUUAUUUCUUUAGCAACUGUGGUCUUUUGAACUGUGGCAAUGUAGGUGUUAUUUAGACUCUUUAGAUGAAUGUGACAACUGUGGUCCCAGCUAGAGUUUGUUCAUGGGUGGGUGUCAUGGCCACAGGACAGAAAACAUACUUUAUUCCGGGGCUGACCAGGCAAAAGAGAAAGAGAGCAGCAGGCUGCUACUGUGAAUUUGCUUUAGGACUCAGGGCUAGUUUCUUAACUUUUUCAUCAUUAAUCAAUAAAACCAAUAGAAUGGUAUCUGUCCUCAUUGAUUUUAUAGAUUUGUCAGGGUUUAUCACAUCCAAGAAUUUGGGGAAAGCAAUUUCUAACUUCUGUUCCUGGGGGGAGCUCCUGCCGGCUACUUACUCCAUAGUCACCAGUGAUUCCUCUCCUUAUCUGCCUUCCCUGUUUCUACCAAGAACAGCAAAUAUGAGAGCUAAACUGUAUCUGCAGUUGACCAAACAGAGGCAAUGAGAGCUACACCCAUCUUAACUCCCUAAAAUAACAUUUUAGAUAUAGUUAAUCUAUGUCAAUGUAAGUAGACACAGUACACGCCCAGCUUGUGAAAGAGUCCAUAAGGCGGAAAUGUGUUUGUUUUCCAGGACAUUUAUGGCAUGGUUAUCAAAGUCCUUGCUGACAGGGAUAAAUAAAGUUAACAAUACAGGAUGAUUAGAAUCAGAAUAGAGCUAGAAUAGUGGGCUGAAUCCAACAAAACCAGUCCCCCUUCUAAAAUUCAGCAGCAUAAUCAUAUCAUGUAAGAAUGUGUCCCACCCCUAUGUGGAAGAGACAUGGUUCUAUUGACCUUGGGCAGUUGGAAUAAACAGAUGUGGUCUGGCUGCCUGAGAAGCUUGUGCAGUCUUGACAAUAUUCAUAAAAAAUAUGGUGGCACGGAUCCACAUUAGAUCCAGAGCAAGGGAGUCCCCAUCACAACUCAGUGGAAACGAAUCUGACUAGCAUCCAUGGGGACACAGGUUUGAUCCCUGGCCUUGCUCAGUGGGUUAAGGAUCUGGCGUUGCCAUGAGCUGUGGUGUAGGUCACAGACAUGGCUCAGAUCUGGUAUAGCUGUGGUUAUGGCGUAGGCCUGUAGCUAUAGCUCCUUUUUGGCCCCUAGCCUGGGAACUUCCAUAUGCUAUGGGUGCGGCCCUAAAAAG